GCAUGGAUUUGGAUUAACGGCAGCCGCAUCCCCUGGGCCUCUCAUGGUGUCCCAUGCCAGAGCAUCCUAUGGCCCUGAACCUGGCCUCUGGGCCUGUAGGCUCCUGGCACAGAAGCGAGUUGCACACUA
ensembl:snoRNA